CCCUUGCAGAAGCAGGGCCACCAAGAGCCCGUGCCCAGGUCCUCCAGAUGGCUGGUGAGCACCAACACCAGAGACAAGGACGUGUCUUUGGGACACUCAGCGUCUGAAUUAAAUUGGCAGCUCGUUAAAUGUACAGCACUCUAUCAAUAUUUAAUGCUUGCUAGCUUUAAAUACGGAUAGCUUGUUAGCAUUAAGUGUGGAUAAAUGCAUUCUUACAGGAGGGACUGUGGUGUCCAACACACAUCAGACACCUCAAGCUGUUGGGAUGGGGGACAUGUAAACACCAAAUCUCGGUGAAUGAGCCCGUUUGCAGCCGGUCUGCCUCUCACCAGCUUUUGAUUCCCUCUGAGCACGGAGCAGGAGGCGAGCACCGGGAGCACGGCGUCCUGCCAGGCUGCAGAGCCCAACAGCACCAACAAACCAAACAAAGCCGCGUGAGCAGGCUCUGUACAGCCAACUAAAGCUGUCCUAAAGGAAAACUCUCCACUAUCCAAUGCUGCCUUUAAAGUUGAGUGUCGUGGCUCUGCAGGAGCACUGGGUCACGUAGAAAGAGCGGAGCUCAGAGGUGACCAUGCCGUGUUCCUUCUCUGCCUCCCUGGGAGCAUCCCUGCCCUUACGUCCCUGCCCUGCAUGGCCACAGAGCACAAAAGUGAUGCUCCCCUUCCUGUGUUGAGGCCCAGGAUCCUAAAACUGCAGCUGCUGUCACUGAAAAAGCAACAAGCCAGUGUGUGCAACCUACUCUGUGAUGCUCCCGUGCCUCUUCCUGCUGCCACCUCCUGCUUCUGCAAGGGCCUGGCAGCAGCUGUUUGUGUAGGAGGAACAGCACAUCGAGGAGCUGCAAGCAGUAAUUGCCACAAAACCCCUCGGCACGUCGGUUACCCGGGAGCCAUAUUCAGCACGAAAAGGCAAAGCAAACCAUCUGCAGGGAGAGACAAAGCAAAGCAACACGGAGUGCAGCCGCUCCUGAAACCUCUGGUUUAUUGCUUCCAAAUCUGAUAGCAGCCCAGCCUGGGAGCCAUGGUUUUGCACUGAGAAACACAAAACAGUGCAAGCUGGGUUUUGGUAAGGGUCGUUUUUGGCAAAGAAAGACAGUGAAAUCCUUUGGAUG
rnacentral:lncRNA from 1 species